UGCUGGAGGUAUCAGAAGUGCGAAUGCUGACAUAAGUAACGAUAAAGCGGGUGAAAAGCCCGCUCGCCGGAAGACCAAGGGUUCCUGUCCAACGUUAAUCGGGGCAGGGUGAGUCGACCCCUAAGGCGAGGCCGAAAGGCGUAGUCGAUGGGAAACGGGUUAAUAUUCCCGUACUUGGUGUUACUGCGAAGGGGGGACGGAGAAGGCUAUGUUGGCCGGGCGACGGUUGUCCCGGUUUAAGCGUGUAGGUGUGUGUUCCAGGUAAAUCCGGUUCACUUUAACACUGAGGCGUGACGACGAGGCACUACGGUGCUGAAGCAACAAAUGCCCUGCUUCCAGGAAAAGCCUCUAAGCAUCAGGUAACACGAAAUCGUACCCCAAACCGACACAGGUGGUCAGGUAGAGAAUACCAAGGCGCUUGAGAGAACUCGGGUGAAGGAACUAGGCAAAAUGGUGCCGUAACUUCGGGAGAAGGCACGCUGACACGUAGGUGAAGUGAUUUACUCAUGGAGCUGAAGUCAGUCGAAGAUACCAGCUGGCUGC
rnacentral:rRNA from 1 species